UGAAGGAUGCAGUUCAUGUGCUGCUUAGUGACUCACGGGGAGAAUGCCUUCAGUGUGAGAAGAUGCUGUCAGCUUAUCCAGACUUCAAGUUUGAGUGCAUUUGCUGUAGCUGCUCUUCUAGUAACUUUAUAAUCCUCUUUCCCAUCACUGUGUGUACUGUCUGAGGGCCACAUGUUUUUGAGGUGUCGUCCUGGGAGAUAUGGCAUGGAGAGCUGUAUCCUUCCCCUCGUUUUUGAGCGCAAUUUAGAACAUGAUUUUUUGCCACAGGAUUUAGCAAUGACAUCACCACUGGUCUGAAAACAACAGAUCAUUACUGAUACUCUUUGCUGUGAGUCCCAUUUUGCAGUAGGUGUUAACGAGGUAUUGGGUUGUGACGCAACAGGACACCUGCUGUGUUGUAAUAGGCGAUAACAGGGUAUCAGGUUGUGAUGUGAUAGGACCUCCCCUGCUCUGUGAGUAACAUGUGACGCAAGCUUAAGGGGCCUAGGUGAAACGGAAUGUGUAUUUAAGGAGUCGUCGUGCCUUAAUAAAUUGCCAUUUGCUUCUCCAUCGUAUUGGUGUCAGUGUUGCUAUGGCCCUGGCAAGUGUGGAUUGCUGGCCCUCUGGUGGUGCGGCCUUGGACACAGUGGUUGCCAGAGACAAACUGCAGAAGCUGUACUACAGACACAAGUUUAUGGUCACAUCAUAGAGACUAUGAAGUGGUUAUCUUCACAAGUUAUUGUUCUAAUAAUUUGAAAUUAUUUGUCUUCUACUUAUUGAGAAGAAAAGUUUUAACAGUAGUUAUUCCAAUAACUUAUAAGUUGCUAUUGCAUAACAAAUGCAUUCUUUGGUUUAUUGUUUGGCUAAGUUUGUGUACAAUACUCACAAGGGUUUAAAUACUAUGUAUCAAUGAAAUAUUUGUAUGUCUUGAAAGUGCCAG
rnacentral:lncRNA from 1 species